rnacentral:ncRNA from 1 species
AGUCAAGUAAGUAAGGGCAUACGGCGGAUGCCUUGGCCAUAUCAGCCGAAGAAGGACGCGAUAAGCUGCGAAAAGCUGCGGUAAGGUGCAAGUAACCAUUGACCCGCAGGUAUCCGAAUGGGGAAACCCGGCAGUAGGAGUACUGUCAUCCUUUCGAGGAAGGGCACCCGGUGAACUGAAACAUCUAAGUAGCCGGAGGAAAAGGAAUCAACAGAGAUACCCCUAGUAGCGGC